AAAUAGAUAAAAAUAAAGGAGAAUAUCUUAUAGGAAAGUGCUUGGCAGAGAAAGCUCUCUACAGAAAACACUGGGUUUUGGAAUGCAAUCGUUAACAGAGUUCGAUAUUCUUUAGAAGAGAGGCUGGUGGGGCUCUCCUGCAGGUCACCUUCUCAGGGAUGGGAUGACGGAUCCCCUCGGCAAACAGUUUGGCAAGUCACCACUCAUCUUUGAGUUUCCGGUUCUCCGAAUCCAAGAUGAGGGGGUGGAAUUUGAAGAUCUCCAAGGCCUCGCUGAAUACUACCAGUCUAGACAUUCCCAAGCCAAGUCCUUCAAUGAAUGAAAAUUCCUCCAGUAUCCAUUUCUACUGAAAGAGCAACUGUUUCUCCCCACCUCCCACUGGCAUUGCUGCGUUUUACGAGGGCACAGAUCUUUUUGGUGAAUGCCUUGGAGGUUUGGGUUCAGUGGACUUUGACUGUGUGUCUCCAGAAAGCUCAGCACAUGCCUCCUGAAGCAGAUAUCCAGCCGGCUGAAGCUUGCUGCCGUGGAACCAAUCGUGAGACCGUUGCACAGUGGUGUCUGCGUGAGAUCAGUGCAAUACCGUGAAGAGUCCGCUUGAUUUGGGGGAAGUGCUCGCACAGCAGUCAAGAGGUCUAGAUAAGUGAACUCUAGGUGGUAGAAAGGAAGCUGCAUUCAGAAACAUUCAGAACAGUCCCUGUGCGGUUAGGACUGUGCAGAGGGCCCCUUUGACACAUGGCUGAGGGGGUCCAUUAAGACUGACCCCAUAGCCCCCGGAGGUAGGAGGAUGCCUGUGUCCCCAGCUGCUUUUCCCAGAAACAAGGCAGGGAGGGCUUGUCUCCCUGUCCCCUUGGGGCAGCCCUGCCAAGGGAGAGGGGUGUGAUGUUCUCUCUGCAGCCCCCAC
rnacentral:lncRNA from 1 species